UACGUAGGGGGCAAGCGUUAUCCGGAUUUACUGGGUGUAAAGGGAGCGUAGACGGCAGAGCAAGUCUGAAGUGAAAGCCCGCGGCCCAACUGCGGGACUGCUUUGGAAACUGCCCGGCUAGAGUGCUGGAGAGGUAAGCGGAAUUCCUAGUGUAGCGGUGAAAUGCGCAGAUAUUAGGAGGAACACCAGUGGCGAAGGCGGCUUACUGGACAGUAACUGACGUUGAGGCUCGAAAGCGUGGGGAGCAAACAGG
rnacentral:rRNA from 1 species